GAAAACUGAGGCUCGGGGAGAGAAUGUGUUCACGCUCCAUGGCAACUAAGUGCCAAGAAAUCCAAGUCUGUCUGGCUUCGACUCCCACGCUCUUAACAGCGACAGUAUAAUUUCCACCCCUCACUGACCUGUGGACAGACCAUGACCUGUGUGGAAAUGGGAGCAGCUGCACCGCUGAGCCCGGAGGCAGGAAGAGGCGUCCUCUGGGUCAUAGUAACACAGCCUGCAGCUUUGUUCACGGUCUCGUCCUCUCGCUGCAUUACUCCUGGACACUGUUACUAAUCACACUUAUUCACAUUGAUUUUUUUUUUCUCCCCGAGGAUGAACUACCUCAUCCUUCCUUAAUCUAAUGACUGAAAUUAGGCAAAAGCAGCCAUCUGAUAGAUGUUAGGCAUCAUUCCAGAGAGGAAAACAUCAAACAAGAUUAUAUA